rnacentral:tRNA from 1 species
GGCAACGUAGAUAAAUGGGAAAUCAAGGUGUAUAAAAAAACACUCGCUUUCUGGGCGGUGUAGGUUCGAGUCCUACCGUUGCCACCA